rnacentral:lncRNA from 1 species
AAAUAUUAUACAAAAUUUUAAAACAAUAUGAUAUACAAGAAUGUUUUAAAAUAAUAAUGAUAUAACUUUUAAAAAAAAUAAAUGCAAGUAAAAUACCAAAUUGAAAUGAAGUAAAAAUGAUUAAAGUAAUUCAAGAUAUAUAUUUAAAUAAUUUUUAAAAGAAAAGAAUACUAAGUAAAUAAAAAAAUAAAAGAAUUGCAUAUUGAAAUGAAAGAAAAAACUCAACUGAAAUAAAAUAAACUUAAAGGGAUAAUUAAUAAAUAAGAUAGAACAUUGAAAUAGAACCAAGGACCAAAGCGCAAUGCGCGGGGAUUGAAAAGGUAAAUGUUCCAGAUCUCAUAACACAGCGUUUAAACGUGGACUAAAUUGAAACAGUAUGCAAAUCACAAUGAAAAAUUUAAAAAUGCAAAAGGAAUCAAACAGGACUCAAUUUGAAAAAUAGCGCGAAAGGGAGGGACCAAUCGCGUAAAUAACCCGAAGUAGCGAAACGCGCGGAUCCUCCCGGGGUCGGGUCAGUACGCGUACGGGUCAGCAUGAAACGGUGCUAUUUUGGCACCUGGGUUCCAAAGACUAAACGACGCCGUUUUUACUUGUUAUUAAGACUAAAAAUUUGAAUGGCAAUCUGCCAUUCUUUACAGCAACAAAACCAAUCCCUAUUUGCUAGGGUUUUAGCCUUAACUUAAAGGAGAUGAUUGAGCGUCGCUGCACCACCAUUGACUUUGGUGGUAGACCACGCACAGAAGGAACGCGAUGAGAGGCCGGAGGUAAGUAUCAUUCUCCCUUUAUCUUUUCAUGCGAAAGAGGAAAACUAAAAAGGAAAACUAAAAACAUUUAGAAAAGAAAUCAAAUCCGAAAACUAGAGGAAGAAGUUGAAAUUUUUCAUCACCUUGAAUUUCUCAUUGAUAUGUAUUCAAAAUUUGAGUGUCAAAAAAGAAAAAAAAUUAUCCCCUCUUACAUUUGAUUCCGUUCGGCUUUAUAGCCGAAAAAAUAAAAAUAAAAGAGAAAAAAAUACAAAUUUCCUUGCUGUCAUUUGCUGUUAUUUGCUAUCUAUUGCUUGCUUGCUAUUUUUGUUUGUUAGUUUGUUGCAGGUACGAGAGCGGCCAGCUGAAGGAACGAAGGUGCACGUGGUGGCUGAGGCAAUGGUGCGCGUAAAAACUGGCACGAAGGCAACAGCAGUGCAAGGGGCCCUUGCUCUAAGGUUUCCAAAAAACUGUUAAGGAGAUGGGUCUAUCGGGCUUGUUUUGAUUUGGGUUAGGGGUCUUUAAUUUUUGGUUUGAGCCUCAAGAUUUGGGCUUUGUAUUUUUGGACUAUAAACAGUUUAAUUUAUAUUCUAUUUUUUGUUUGGUUUAUUUAUUUAUUGUAAAUAAACUUAAAAGCCCAGGCAAAAUGGGCCUUCUACAGAUGUCAUUUAUAUUUACAUGACAAAAAAUAAACGAAAAACACAUCAUUAGUCAUUACGUUUUGGAAUUUACAGUAUAUUUACUGGGUCAAGUCUAUCUUUGUGACACGGUUUUGUCUGUCUUUAUGAAACGGUCUUUUUGUAUUCUUUUUGCUUGGAGGAGUUGGUUUGUCUCUACAGAUUAAGUGAUUCUUGUUAUGGAGGAAGGCAUAGCAAAUCUGAGGCUAAUGGACGAGGAG